rnacentral:hammerhead_ribozyme from 1 species
AUCCAACUGACGAGUUCCAAAUAGGAUGAAACCUGCGUCCUGGAU